CGUUCUACUCUCUACCGCCCCCUUCAACCCUUUUCUGCGCGUGCGCACCGAAGGGCCCCCUGGGGGAGCGGCGCGAGGCAGGGACCUCGGGGGAAGGAGAGACUGCAUGGAGGAAUCGAGCACCGAGUCAUCGAACCACGGUUGCUAAGCGACGGAGGCGGGUGUAAAGGAUCGGGAACUUGAAAUGGACUGGGCAUGGAGCAAAAAGCAGUGAAGACGAUGGUGACAGUGAAGAUAACUCAUCAGCUGUUCUCAUCCGCACUCCACCCUACUAAAGCUUGUAAAACAAAGGUCUGUGAAUGAGUCAAUGGGCAGGUCCCCAGGGCUCCUGGCUACGAUCGGAAUCAAAGAACCGAGAGAUUUUCAAAUACACAAGACACAGGAGAAUAUAAGCUCAUUGAGAGCAGAGCCUGUUUUCUUUUCUUAAUCCACAGUGCCUAGAAUUUAGUGAACACCUAAUAAAUGCUUAUUGAUUGGAGCCAUAAGGGACCUUAGAGUCUGUCCAAUCGAACUCGAUUUACAGGAACUGAUUAUUUUGAAUGGUCACUCCCUCCUCCAGUUAUUUACUCCUGAUCUGAGUCUACAAUCCUCAGACACAGCCACUGGACUCAUCAAAAGUACAACCACGAUGCUUUUCAGGAGCUGAGAAUCUUCAGUAGGACUUGUCCUACAACCUAAAGCUGCAGCAACACAAUCACUUCCUUUUUAUAAAUGAGGAAACGGAAGUCUGGGGAGGUGACAGUUUAUCCUCAGGUCACGGAGGUGGUGACAGGGCUGGGAUUUGAUUCAAGGCCUUCUGACCCUAAAUGCGACAUUCUUUCCGUUAAACCAAAACUCUCCACAUUCUGGAAAUAUCGUGGCUAUACCUUGGAAAAGCCCAACCUGGGCCCGAGCUACGCUAAAUGUCAUGCACCGGAAAGGGAGUGGCCUGAAACCCAAGCGUGGAGCCUGCCCAGAGGGGACCUGGUUCUCCUGCAUGCAGGUAGCCUCCCCCCAUCCUAUUUCAGGGCCCCCGGUGGCACAAGAUAUCACUGCUGAAAGAUGUACCAGCCGCUUGGAACAACAAUGAGGAUUUGGAAGGAUUGCCAAAUUUGAAGGGGGAGAUUGGGAAGAGUUAUUUUAAACUUAUACCGCAUCCUUGCUGUUUCAGACCCAGGAGAAGUAACUGCUUUUUACCCCCAUUCAUCAUCACCACCAACAACAGCAACACUAACAAUAAUACUCCACAGCCGUGAAGCGAGCGCCCUGUGGUUUCAAAGUGCUUUAUGUUCAUGCUCUUAUUGGCUCUCUUCAACAGUC